UACGUAGGGGGCAAGCGCUAUCCUGAAUCACUGGGCGUAAAGGGUGCGUAGGCGGCCAAUCAAGUCUGAGGUGAAAGGCUACGGCUUAACCGUAGUAAGCCUUGGAAACUGGUUGGCUUGAGUGCAGGAGAGGGGAGUGGAAUUCCUAGUGUAGCGGUGAAAUGCGUAGAUAUUAGGAGGAACACCAGUGGCGAAGGCGACUCUCUGGACUGUAACUGACGCUGAGGCACGAAAGCGUGGGGAGCAAACAGG
rnacentral:rRNA from 1 species